AGCGAACGCUGGCGGCAGGCCUAACACAUGCAAGUCGAGCGCCCCGCAAGGGGAGCGGCAGACGGGAGAGUAACACGUGGGAACGUACCUUUCAGUUCGGAACAACCAAGGGAAACUUUGGCUAAUACCGAAUACGCCCGUAAGGGGAAAGAUUCAUCGCUGAAAGAUCGGCCCGCGUCUGAUUAGCUAGUUGGUGGGGUAAUGGCCCACCAAGGCGACGAUCAGUAGCUGGUCUGAGAGGAUGAUCAGCCUCACUGGGACUGAGACACGGCCCAGACUCCUACGGGAGGCAGCAGUGGGGAAUAUUGGACAAUGGGCGCAAGCCUGAUCCAGCCAUGCCGCGUGAGUGAUGAAGGCCCUAGGGUUGUAAAGCUCUUUCACCGGUGAAGAUAAUGACGGUAACCGGAGAAGAAGCCCCGGCUAACUUCGUGCCAGCCGCCGCCGUAAAAC
rnacentral:rRNA from 1 species